AUGCAUAGAAUAAGUCUUAAUUCCAGUAACUCAGUCCAGUCCGAGCUGCUCCCCACACUCUCUCUCUCCCUCCUUCCCUCCCUCUGCUUGCUUAUAAAGCCAUUGGAGGUCGGUGCCGCGGCUCAACAGGCUAAUCCUCCACCUGCAGCGCCAGCACACCGGGUUCUAGUCCCGGUCGAGGCACUGGAUUCUGUCCCAGUUGCUCCUCUUCCAGGCCAGCUCUCUGCUGUGGCCAGGGAGUGCAGUGGAGGAUGGCCCAAGUGCCUGGGCCCUGCACCCCAUGGGAGACCAGGAGAAGCACCUGGCUCCUGCCUUCGGAUCAGUGUGGUGCGCCGGCCGCAGCGCGCUGGCAGCAGUGGCCAUUGGAGGGUGAACCAACGGCAAAGGAAGACCUUUCUCUCUGUGUCUCUCUCUCACUGUCCACUCUGCCUGUCAAAAAAAAAAAAAAAAAAAGCCAUUGGAGUCAGCUCCGGGAGGGGGGGCUACCCAGACAACCUCCUAUAAUCCUAAUCACUCCCCGAAGACUCCCCUCUCAACCCUGUGCUUAGAUGUAGUCACUCUGCCCUUUCUCUCACCCAGAGGGGGAUUAACCAUCAACCUGCAUUUCACCAGGGACAAAUUGUACUCAAGGCAUCGUGGUGACCAGGUCAGCUGACCUCACAGGCAUCUCCCCCCUCCCCGAGAUGGUGACCCUGGCCUGUGCCACCGUGAUGCUGUCAGACUAGAGCCCAGUGAGAGGCCUCGGCUGUGGUGUAAUCAGCAGCCCAUGGCUCAAGGGCUCACGGCACCACGGCCUCCGUGCCUGCCGUGCACUGCUUGGCUAGGGCUUGGCUGCUGCCCCUGGCUGCGCUCGGCUGAGUUUGGUGAAAGCAGCAGGGCCUCAGGCCUCACUCCGCCAUCAGGCCCACACUGGAGGCCUUCGCGCUGGGGUCACGCCAGGGGCCGAUGGCUUCGUGAACCUGCUUUUCUCAGGGCAAAACCUGGAAACUCUGCAAGGACAGGCGGCCGUGUGCUAUGCCACCUAGGGCCUUGGCUCAGCGUGGGGGACGCUAACUUCCGUCCUCUUCCCGCUGGUCAAGGCCAAAGGCAAGAGUAGAAGACAUGCCCAUGGCAAAGCCCUAGUGGGACAAGGGGAGGAAAAUGCCAAAUACUCCGAUCUGCGGCCCAGAACGAGGAUCCUUUCACGGUGAUACGGCAGCACCGCAGAGCGGUUAAAGACACAAAGUGGGAGCAGGCGUUUGGCCGAGUGGGUAAAAUGCUGGGAAUCUCAUAUCGCAGUGCCUGGAUUGAGGCCCCAGCCCUGGCUCCCAAUUCCAGCUUACUGCUAAUGUCGACCCUGGGCGGCAGCUCAAGGAGUUGGGUCCCUGUCACCCAAGUGGGAGACUUGGAUUGAGUUCCGGGCUCCUGCCCUGGGCCAGCCCUGGCCAUUGCAGGCAUUUGGGGAAGUGAACGAGUAGAUGAGAACUCUCUGUCUCUCAAAUAAUAACAAAAUAAGCAAACGAAUAGAAGUACAAAGAUAUAAACUAAGACACGUUUGAGUUCCGGCUCUGCUACUCCUAAACCCAAUGACCUUGAGUACAUUCUCUGGGCCUCAGUCCCCUCAUCUGGAAAAUGGGCACAUUACCAAUCAGCCCCUUCUACAGCGACUGUGAGGUUGAGAGGAAAGGUGUAAAGUGCUGAUAUGGGUGCCUGGCCUCUAGUGGGAACCUCCUAGAGGCCGGCGGCUGGGUUGUUAGGAAAUUGUGUCUUCUGGGGACAGGGCAGCGAGAGGAGGGGAGAAGCAUUUCCAGGGGCUUGGCUGAGAAUCUGCAGGGGAAGCUCCUGCGAGAAGGAAGUACCUCCCCUGAGCUCCGAGCACCAAGGCUGCAGGCUGGCGGUGCCCGCAGAUGCAGAGCUGACAGCCUGUUGGAGGAGGGGGGCACAGAGUGUGGGGAGAGGGGGUGCAGACUCCCUCCCCCAGCUCAUCACUCUGAUUCACCCACAGCGCCAUGCACACGAGGGCCCAGUGUCUGCAAACAGCCCUGGCGGGCUCGUGACGCCACUCGGUCCCAGGAACCGUCCCUUUGCAAUCUGAGGAUUUAACACAUGGAGGCACCCAGGCUUGUCUUGGAAGGGAAGAUGGGAGUCCGUGCCACAGGACAUCAGCCUCAGUCACUUCUGAUUCUUGGGACCAAGCCCCAAGCUGUGGAGAGGGACAAAGGCCAGGGCAGGGAGAGGGAAGCAAGCAAAGACCAGCUUGAAAUUCCACCCGCUAGGAGGUGCGUUUGCUCGGGGGCUGGGAGGGCGUGAGUGAGUUAGCAGGAUCUCUCUGUGUCUUCCUGGGUCAGGGGCCGAGUCCAAACCUCCUCUCUGCCAGUUUCCAGAAUGUUCGUAUAAAAAUAAAAUAAAAAAAUACAUUGACUUUGCCGCA
ensembl:lncRNA